rnacentral:lncRNA from 1 species
CAAAUAUCCCUGAUGUCCCCAAUGUCCCCAAAUAUCCCAAAUAUCCCCGAUGUCCCCAACGCUCCAAAUAUCCCAAAUAUCCCCAAUGUCCCCAAUGCUCUGAAUAUCCCAAAUAUCGCCGAUGUCCCCAAUGUCCCCAAAUAUCCCAAAUAUCCCCAAAUGUCCUCAAUGUCCCCAAAUAUCCCAAAUAUCCCAAAUAUCCCCGAUGUCCCCAAUGCUCCAAAUAUCCCAAAUAUCCCCAAUGUCCCCAAAUAUCCCAAAUAUCCCAAAUAUCCCCAAUAUCCUCAAUGUCCCCAAAUAUCCCAAAUAUCCCCAAUGUCCCCAAAUAUCCCAAAUAUCCCAAAUAUCCCCAAUAUCCUCAAUGUCCCCAAAUAUCCCAAAUAUCCCAAACACCCAGAAAUGUCCCCAGUGUCCCCAACGCUCCCCAUGCUCCCAGUGCCCCGAGUGUCCCCGAUGUCCCCAUAUGUCCCCGAUGUCCCUAAUGCCUCCCAAUGCCCCCAGUUCCCCCAACACCGCCCCGGUCCCCGAUGUCCCCAAACCCCUGUGCCUGUCCCCGACCUUCCUCGACGCCGGUGACGAUGGAGGCGAAGUUGUCGUCCAGCAGGAUCAUGUCGGCCGCCUGCUUGGACACGUCCGAGCCGGCGAUGCCCAUGGCGAUCCCAAUGUCCGCCUUCUUCAGCGCCGGCGAGUCGUUGACGCCGUCACCCGUCACUGCCACGAUGGCGCCCUGGGGACAUUGGGGACAUUGGGGACACUGGGGACACUGGGGGUAUUGAGGGUUUUGGGGACACUGGGGACAUUGAGGGCUUUUGGGACAUUGGGGACACUGGGGACACCAGGGGCUUUGGGGACACUGGGGACACUGGGGGCUUUGGGAAUUUGGGGAACACAGGAUAUUGGGGACACUGGGGACAAUGGGAACAUUGGUGGUUUUGGGGACACUGGAGACAUUGGGGGCUUUGGGGACAUUGGGGACACUUGGGGAUAUUGGGGACACUGGGGACACUGGAGACAUUGGGGGCUUUGGGGACAUUGAGGGCUUUGGGGACAUUGGG